UACAGAGGUCUCAAGCGUUGUUCGGAUUCAUUGGGCGUAAAGGGUGCGUAGGUGGCGGGGUAAGUCAGGUGUGAAAUUUCGGAGCUUAACUCCGAAACUGCAUUUGAUACUGCCUUGCUUGAGGACUGGAGAGGAGACUGGAAUUCACGGUGUAGCAGUGAAAUGCGUAGAUAUCGUGAGGAAGACCAGUGGCGAAGGCGGGUUUCUGGACAGUUCCUGACACUGAGGCACGAAGGCCAGGGGAGCAAACGGG
rnacentral:rRNA from 1 species